AAGAUUCUUCCACAAGUGAAUAAUUGCCAUUGUCAUACCUCAUUCUAUGAGAAAUAUAAUAUCAUACAGAUUUGAAUCAGGUUUUGACAAAAACUUCUCCUGGUAUUCAAUGAGUCAAAUGGAGAAUGGUAUAUAAGAGAAUUUCUAACUUUGGGCACCCAUCUUUGGGAUGAAUGUGAUGACUCGUUCAAGAAUCAUUUCCAAAAGCUGUUCCUGGAAGCAUAAAGUAUAAAUGAAUGUCACUAUGCUUCAAGCUUAUUGGACAAAAAUUAACAACAACAACAACAACAACAUUUGGGGCACCUGGGUGAUUCAGUCGUUUAACCAUCCAACUUUGGUUCAGGUCAUGAUGUCAUGGUUUGUAAG